rnacentral:rRNA from 1 species
GACGAACGCUGGCGGCGUGCCUAAUACAUGCAAGUAGAACGCUGAAGGCGGAGCUUGCUUCUCCGGAUGAGUUGCGAACGGGUGAGUAACGCGUAGGUAACCUGCCUGGUAGCGGGGGAUAACUAUUGGAAACGAUAGCUAAUACCGCAUAACAGUAGAUAUCGCAUGAUAUCUGCUUGAAAGGUGCAAUUGCAUCACUACCAGAUGGACCUGCGUUGUAUUAGCUAGUUGGUGAGGUAACGGCUCACCAAGGCGACGAUACAUAGCCGACCUGAGAGGGUGAUCGGCCACACUGGGACUGAGACACGGCCCAGACGCCUACGGGAGGCAGCAGUAGGGAAUCUUCGGCAAUGGACGGAAGUCUGACCGAGCAACGCCGCGUGAGUGAAGAAGGUUUUCGGAUCGUAAAGCUCUGUUGUAAGAGAAGAACGAGUGUGAGAGUGGAAAGUUCACACUGUGACGGUAUCUGACCAGAAAGGGACGGCUAACUACGUG